GGUGAACGCUGGCGGCGUGCUUAAGACAUGCAAGUCGAACGGCAGUCUUCGGACUGUAGUGGCGCACGGGUGAGUAACGCGUAACUGACCUACCCCAAAGUCGCGGAUAACGAUUCGAAAGAAUCGCUAAUACGUGAUGUGCUGUCAGAUUGUGUUCUGCCAGUAAAGAUUGAUUGCUUUGGGAUGGGGUUGCGUUCCAUCAGCUAGUUGGUGGGGUAAAGGCCCACCAAGGCGACGACGGAUGGCCGGCCUGAGAGGGUGGCCGGCCACAGGGGCACUGAGACACGGGUCCCACUCCUACGGGAGGCAGCAGUUAGGAAUCUUCCACAAUGGGCGAAAGCCUGAUGGAGCGACGCCGCGUGAGGGAUGAAGGUCUUCGGAUCGUAAACCUCUGAAUCAGGGACGAAAGACACUUCGGUGGGAUGACGGUACCUGAGUAAUAGCACCGGCUAACUCCGUGCCAGCAGCCGCAGUAAUAC
rnacentral:rRNA from 1 species